rnacentral:rRNA from 1 species
CGCCCCGCAGGGGGAGCGGCAGACGGGUGAGUAACGCGUGUGGAAUCUACCCAUCUCUACGGAACAACUCCGGGAAACUGGAGCUAAUACCGUAUACGUCCUUAUCGGAGAAAGAUUUAUCGGAGAUGGAUGAGCCCGCGUUGGAUUAGCUAGUUGGUGGGGUAAUGGCCUACCAAGGCGACUAUCCAUAGCUGGUCUGAGAGGAUGAUCGGCCACACUGGGACUGAGACACGGCCCAUACUCCUACGGGAGGCAGCAGUGGGGAAUAUUGGACAAUGGGCGCAUGCCUGAUCCAGCCAUGCCGCGUGAGUGAUGAAGGCCCUAGGGUUGUAAAGCUCUUUCAACGGUGAAGAUAAUGACGGUUACCGUAUAAGAAGCCCCGGCUAACUUCGUGCCAGCAGCCGCGGUAAUACGAAGGGGGCUAGCGUUGUUCGGAAGUACUGGGCGUAAAGCGCACGUACGCGGAUACUUAAGUCAGGGGUGAAAUCCCGGGGCUCAACCCCGGAACUGCCUUUGAUACUGGGUAUCUGGAGUCCGGAAGAUGUGAGUGGAAUUCCGAGUGUGUAGGUGAAAUUCGUAGAUAUUCUGAGGAACACCUGUGGCGAAUGCCGCUCACUGGUCCGGUACUGACACUCACGUGCGAAAGCUGUGGGAGCACACAGGAUUAGAUACCCUGGUAGUCCACGCCGUAUACGAUGGAAGCUUCCCGUUCGCCAGUUUACCUGUCGGUGGCGCAGCUUACGCAUUAUUCUUCCCGCCUGGCGAGUACGGUCUCCAGAUUAAUACUCAAAUGAAUUGACGGGG